GACGAACCGUGCGAACGUUGUUCGGAAUCACUGGGCUUAAAGGGCGCGUAGGCGGCUGACCAAGUCAGUGGUGAAAUCCUGCAGCUUAACUGUAGAAGUGCCUUUGAUACUGGUCGGCUCGAGGGAGGUAGGGGUCUGUGGAACUUCUGGUGGAGCGGUGAAAUGCGUUGAUAUCAGAAGGAACGCCGGUGGCGAAAGCGACGGACUGGACCUCUUCUGACGCUGAGGCGCGAAAGCUAGGGGAGCAAACGGG
rnacentral:rRNA from 1 species